ACGCAAAAUCAAGAUCCCCUUAUUUCUUGUCAGAAAUCCUCUACAGUCCUCACAGCAGUAAUGAUGGUGAACCAGCAUUGACGAUUCUUCCAUCAAUAUUGUUUGUGUUUGUCAAUAGUCCUCCCAAGCAAGUUGUCUCACUAGGAGGUGUUCAAAACUCUAUGGAAUUUGCUUCGUGGUUGGAAUAAUCAUCGGCUUUGAUUAUCCCAAAAUUUUCCAUCUAAUUACAAUGUUAGGUUUUAAUUUUGA
rnacentral:lncRNA from 1 species